rnacentral:rRNA from 1 species
UACGGAGGGUGCGAGCGUUGUCCGGAAUCAUUGGGCGUAAAGGGCGCGUAGGUGGCGGGACAAGCGUGCGGUGAAAGCCUGGGGCUCAACCCCGGGUCGGCCGUGCGAACUGUUUUGCUUGAGCACUGUAGAGGCAGGCGGAAUUCCGGGUGUAGCGGUGGAAUGCGUAGAGAUCCGGAAGAACACCGGUGGCGAAGGCGGCCUGCUGGGCAGUAGCUGACACUGAGGCGCGACAGCGUGGGGAGCGAUCCGG